rnacentral:rRNA from 1 species
CCCACGUGUGGCAGCAGUGGGGAAUAUUGGACAAUGGGCGAAAGCCUGAUCCAGCCAUGCCGCGUGUGUGAAGAAGGCCUUCGGGUUGUAAAGCACUUUCAGUGGGGAAGAAAGCCUUGGGGCUAAUACCCUCGAGGAAGGACAUCACCCACAGAAGAAGCACCGGCUAACUCCGUGCCAGCAGCCGCGGUAAUACGGAGGGUGCGAGCGUUAAUCGGAAUUACUGGGCGUAAAGCGCGCGUAGGCGGUCUGAUAAGCCGGUUGUGAAAGCCCCGGGCUCAACCUGGGAACGGCAUCCGGAACUGUCAGGCUAGAGUGCAGGAGAGGAAGGUAGAAUUCCCGGUGUAGCGGUGAAAUGCGUAGAGAUCGGGAGGAAUACCAGUGGCGAAGGCGGCCUUCUGGACUGACACUGACGCUGAGGUGCGAAAGCGUGGGUAGCAAACAGGAUUAGAUACCCUGGUAGUC